UUCAUUCUUCAUCUCUUUGGUGUGAGGAAAUGUCUACUUCCAAUUUAAGUGUCCAUUCAGCUGCAGAUCAACUGAGCAUGAAGGACAGCAAAAGAGGAGACAGUGAAUUAAAUGACAGUCAUUCUGUUAUCAGUGGAGAAAGGCUAAAGAAGCCACCUUCAGAGAUGAUGGAAAAUCAGGCCCUGGAUGAGGAAAGGCAGGAAUAGAUUGAAAAGUAGAGAUGUCUGACCCCCUAGUCAUCAUCGUCCCUGACUCACCAGUAAAACAUCUCAGUGAUGUUACACAGACAUGAGGUAAUCACAGGGUGGCAUGAUAAACACCUUCAAACCCCAAAGUUACUGGCUUCUGAGUGCUUCUUUUUUGGGUGCUCAGUUUGGCACAGCUCAGAGAGGCUUGAGAGUGAGCAAGUGCUGAGCACUGGUUCAUAAGGCUUCUUGAAGCUGAGUAGCAGAAUACUCCUAAAGUGUUUGGUCCAUGUCUGUCCAUGUGUGUUGCGAAGUGCAUGUCAUAUGUAUGGGCACUAUUUGCCUAAAAUAAAAGAAAAAUUGUCUGGAGAGUUCGUUAAAGUAAGGUAGAGAGCAGGUCUUUAUUAAGGCCUUAAG